rnacentral:rRNA from 1 species
UACAGAGGGUGCGAGCGUUAAUCGGAAUUACUGGGCGUAAAGCGUGCGUAGACGGUUAUUUAAGUCGGACGUGAAAGCCCCGGGCUCAACCUGGGAAUUGCAUUCGAGACUGAAUAGCUAGGGUGCGGUAGAGGGAAGCGGAAUUUCCGGUGUAGCGGUGAAAUUCGUAGAUAUUCGGAAGAACACCAGUGGCGAAGGCGACUAACUGGACAUGUAUUGACGCUGAGGUGCGAAAGCGUGGGGAGCAAACAGG